rnacentral:rRNA from 1 species
GCAAGUCGAGCGGCAGCGACAACAUUGACCCUUCGGGGGAUUUGUUGGGCGGCGAGCGGCGGACGGGUGAGUAAUGCCUGGGAACAUGCCUUAGUGUGGGGGAUAACCAUUGGAAACGAUGGCUAAUACCGCAUAAUCUCUACGGAGCAAAGAGGGGGACCUUCGGGCCUCUCGCGCUAAGAUUGGCCCAGGUGGGAUUAGCUAGUAGGUGGGGUAACGGCUCACCUAGGCGACGAUCCCUAGCUGGUCUGAGAGGAUGAUCAGCCACACUGGAACUGAGACACGGUCCAGACUCCUACGGGAGGCAGCAGUGGGGAAUAUUGCACAAUGGGGGAAACCCUGAUGCAGCCAUGCCGCGUGUGUGAAGAAGGCCUUCGGGUUGUAAAGCACUUUCAGCAGUGAGGAAGGCGGUAUCGUUAACAGCGGUAUUGUUUGACGUUAGCUGCAGAAGAAGCACCGGCUAACUCCGUGCCAGCAGCCGCGGUAAUACGGAGGGUGCGAGCGUUAAUCGGAAUUACUGGGCGUAAAGCGCAUGCAGGCGGCUUGUUAAGCCAGAUGUGAAAGCCCGGGGCUCAACCUCGGAAUCGCAUUUGGAACUGGCAGGCUAGAGUCUUGUAGAGGGGGGUAGAAUUUCAGGUGUAGCGGUGAAAUGCGUAGAGAUCUGAAGGAAUACCGGUGGCGAAGGCGGCCCCCUGGACAAAGACUGACGCUCAGAUGCGAAAGCGUGGGGAGCAAACAGGAUUAUAUACCCUGGUAGUCCACGCCGUAAACGAUGUCUACUUGGAGGUUGGUGUUCUUGAACACUGGCCUUUCGGAGCUAACGCGUUAAGUAGACCGGCCUGGGGGAGUACGGUCGCAGAUUAAAACUCAAAUGAAUUGA